GAUCAUGGCUCAGGAUAAACGCUGGCGGCGUGCUUAACACAUGCAAGUCGAACGAAGUUUUUCUUUCGGGAGGAACUUAGUGGCGGACGGGUGAGUAACGCGUGGGUAACCGUGCCCUGUACAGGGGACGAACAGCUGGAAACGGCUGCUAAUACCGCAUAAGCCCUUAGCACUGCAUGGUGCAUAGGGAAAAGGAGCAAUCCGGUACAGGAUGGACCCGCGUCUGAUUAGCCAGUUGGCAGGGUAACGGCCU
rnacentral:rRNA from 1 species